CCGCUCCUCCACGCGGCUUCCUGGGCCCUGACUCCCACACCUGCCCCGCACAGCCCCCGCCUGGAACAGCAGAGCCAAACCGGACAAGCCGAGGGGACCACGAGGGGACCACGUGCAGUCACUCCCCCGGAGGGGCUCAGAGCUGCGGGAGGCCAGGCAGUGACCGCAGCCCGAGAAGGGCUGAGAUGGACAGCGGAGGCGAGCACUGACCCCAGGCCCAGGCCGCGGGAGGCUGCCGGCCACUUCCCCGGGACGCCCCUCCCCAGGCGCAGGCUCGGCGGGGCGGGCUCCCGCCUCCCGGGGUGCCAGGUGGGCUCGCCCCACCCAGGGCCCCGAGGAGGGCACCGCACCUGCGCCGGCCCUCAGGCAGGCCCUGGUCCAGUCGGUGGUCAGCAGGACCUGGCUGGGCGCCGGGCGAGAGGCGGCCGCACGCCGGCCUGGGCUCUGGGGGACCCGGCCCGGCCGGCCCCGUGCAGCGGCGCUGGGCCCCGCACGCGAGCGUGGGCGCCCACCCUGGGCCAAGGGACCGCGCCCCCGCACCACGCGCCCCCGCGCGCCAGUGCCCACUCGCUCCCGGCGUGCUUGCGCGCGCUCACGUGUGUCCGCACGCACGCGCGCGCGGUCUCGCGACCAGGCCAGCCGCGGGACCCAGGGCCGGCCCGCCACCACCCCUCAGGCUCCUUGUCCGGGUCCCCGCGGGCGCCGUCCGGCCGGCUGCGGGGGUCGCGCAGUCCCCACGCCCGGCCCAGGCCGUCGCUCCACGGGGAGCGAACGCGCGGCGAGCUCGCGGUCGCGGCGUUUGGGCCUCGCCGGCCGCCGUCCGCCCGCUUCCGGCCGCGGGACACGCCGGGACGCGUAGUCCGCGGGGCCUGGGCAGCGCCCAGGGUCACGGACCCGGCCGGGCUGGGCGCUCCCAGCGGCGGGGUGGGCGUCCCGUGCUGUGUGGGUGCCGGGCGCCGGUCCCCGCACCGCCCCUCGGGCUGGGGGCGCACGGACGCACCCGAGAGCCGCGGAGUGGGGUCCCUGCGGGAGCCACGUGCUGAUGCUUAGACACACGCAGAGACGCAGAGACACACGGACACAUGCACUCAUAGACACGUGCAGGGACACACGCACAGCGACACGGGUGCACAUACAGACACACGCAUGCACACGGGCACUCAGACACACGCAGACGCACAGAGCACAUAAACACACAGAACACAGCCCCACGUGUGGAGCAUCAGGUAGCGACCACCCAGCCAGGAGGCAGAGGCGAGGAUUCCGGAACAAUCCGCGUGCCCCCCUUGCUUCUGCUCCCGGGGGCGUUUCCGUGCGUGGAGACUGAACGGCGAGGACCGGCGCUUCCUGCUCGUCCCGGGCUGGGACAGACGUGCUCAGGGCCCUUGGCAUGAGCACUUGGGGAGUGAGAGGCAGGACGCCCCGGAGUCAGCACGGCUGCCUCGGCGUGUGUGCGUGCGGUGAGCCAGCCGAGGCGGACGUCAGUUUACCGAAAAUUAGCCGGAGACGGAGGCUCUCUCAGGAGCGCGGAGAAGAGAAAAUUGGAGUUUGAGGCCCACGAGGCGGAAGGGCUCUCAGAAACAGUGCAGGGUUCAGGGAGCCCUUGAAGGAUUAGCGGCACCAGAAAUAGAGCGGCUGCGAAUGGCCAGUGUUUCCAGCUGCCGGGGACAGCUGGGCCCUCCUGGAGGACGAGUCGGGCGCCUGGAGUCUCGAAUCGUCCUCCCUCCCUCCUCCCUUCCUCUCUCCCUCCCCCUCUCUCCUUCUUCUCUCCCCACUCCCCAGAGAGGUCUUCCAUUCUCUGGUUCACUCCCCAAGUAGCCACAGUAGCUGGGGCUGAGCCAGCAGCCAGGAGCCAGGAACCCCGUCCUGGUCUCCCACGUGGGUGCAGGGGCCCAAGGACUUGAGCCACCCUCCACUGUUCUCCCAGGCAUAGCAGGGAGCUAGAUCGGCAGCCGGCAGCCAGACUUGAACCGGCACCCAUGUGCAGCCCCUAAUAUUUUAUUUGGCAUCUGGGCUUUUAACCAAAAAAGCCUGGGGUGCCAGGUAGCUGGGUCAGGUUACUGAAGCCCCUAAACUCCAUCAGCAGAGCCUGGUCAGCAGCCAAGGCUGCCGCUGAGAUGGUCUGAAGACAGCUACCCUGUGGGGACGAGGAGAGAGACCAGCAGCAGGGAAGAGGGAAUCCGGGAACAGAGGGGUAGGUGCAGUCGGUUGGGGCAACCCCAAACGAGAGGGAGCAGCAAAGAGCCUCAGGGACCGAGGCAGCGGGGAGGAAGGCACCGGGGAGCAUGGCGGGGGUGGGGGAGAUGAAAGGAAUCGCACAGCAUGAGUGGCUGGAGUCCCGGAAGAACAGGACAGGCAGGAUGGACAGAGACGGAGGCGGGAGGUGAGGGUGAUGGACAGGACAGGCAGGAUGGAUGGAGACAGAGGCGGGAGGUGAGGGUGAUGGACAGGGCGGGAGGAUGGAUGGAGACAGAGGCAGGAGGUGAGGGUGAGGACCUUCCACAGCCGUCUGGACACGCCGAGCUGCAGAGUGAGGAAGCUGCGUGGUAAACAGGACCACUUAUCCUCUGUUGAGAAAACUGCCCCGGUCAUAUCACGGUACACAUCUGAAAACCAGAGAGAAAACCACGAAAGCCAGAGGAGAAAGUAAUGAGACGGACACCCGAUUUUCUUAAAAAAAAAAAAAAAAAAAAAAGCAGGCCGGCGCCGUGGCUCACUAGGCUAAUCCUCCGCCUUGCAGCACUGGCACACCAGGUUCUAGUCCCGGUCGGGGCGCCGGAUUCUGUCCCGGUUGCUCCUCUUCCAGGCCAGCUCUCUGCUGUGGCCUGGGAGUGCAGUGGAGGAUGGCCCAAGUGCUUGGGUCCUGCACCCGCAUGGGAGACCAGGAGAAGCACCUGGCUCCUGCCUUCAGAUCAGCGCGGUGUGCCAGCCGCAGCUCACCAGCCGCGGCGGCCAUUGGAGGGUGAACCAAGAGCAAAGGAAGACCUUUCUCUCUGUCUCUCUCUCUCUCUCACUGUCCACUCUGCCUGUAAAAAAAAAAAAAAAAAGCAAUGGAAUAAAUGGAAUACAGGAGAUGGUGGAGACA
ensembl:lncRNA